CGAACGCAACGGGAGUUGAACAUUCCUUCGGGAAUGGGAUGUUCCCUAGUACAGUGGCGAACGGGUGAGUAACACGUGAGCAACCUGCCCUUGUAACCAGGAUAACUUCGCGAAAGCGUAACUAAUACUGGAUAAUAUCUUUGGUUCAUAAGAACUAUAGAUCAAAGGUGACCUCUUCACAAUGUUGCUGUUCAAGGAUGGGCUCGCGGUCCAUUAGCUUGUUGGUAGGGUAGCAGCCUACCAAGGCGACGAUGGAUAGCCGACCUGAGAGGGUGAACGGCCACACUGGAACUGAGACACGGUCCAGACUCCUACGGGAGGCAGCAGUGGGGAAUAUUGCGCAAUGGGGGCAACCCUGACGCAGCGACGCCGCGUGAGCGAUGAAGGCUUUCGGGUUGUAAAGCUCUGUCAGAUGGGAAGAAAUGUAUGAAUCUUAAUAGGGUUCAUACUUGACGGUACCAUCAGAGGAAGCCCCGGCUAACUCCGUG
rnacentral:rRNA from 1 species